rnacentral:rRNA from 1 species
UACGGGGGGAGCAAGCGUUGUUCGGAUUUACUGGGCGUAAAGGGCGCGUAGGCGGCCAGCACAAGUCAGUUGUGAAAUCUCCGAGCUUAACUCGGAAAGGUCAACUGAUACUGUGCGGCUAGAGUGCAGAAGGGGCAACUGGAAUUCUCGGUGUAGCGGUGAAAUGCGUAGAGAUCGGGAGGAACACCUGUGGCGAAGGCGGCCGUCUGGGCCGACCCUGACGCUGAGGCGCGAAGGCGUGGGGAGCGAACGGGG